GGCAGGAAGUUUGAAAUUCAAUUUGCACAACACAACAAAAAAGUAGUAGAGAAGCAGCGCGGUGGACAAGAAGGCGUUUGUUAUUAUAGGCCUAGCCUAGCCUAGAGAGAAGCUUUGUAUUGCAGUAAAUAAAAGUUUUUUGCAGAAAAUGGAAGUGGACGACGCUGUGGCUACAAAAAAUAGGAACAACCAAAAAAAGAAAAAAUCUCGUCGGUCAUCUAUUUUAAAGACCGAGAUAUCUCCUGUUCGGAUGGCCCUUGGAGACUUGGAUCCCAACCAAAUCAAAGAGAAUAUUAGGUAGGGGAUCAAUGUAUUC